GCGCACCAGGCGCGAAAACUUCACAAUGUGCGAAAGCACGAUGAGGGAAUCCCAAGUGCUUGCACGUAAGUGUAAGCUGUUUCUCUGUCUAAAACGCAGAGAGAGUAAGGGCUGGGUAAGACGGGUGCCAGCCGCCGCGGUAAUACCUGCAGCUCGAGUGGUGACCGUUAUUAUUGGGCCUAAAACGUCCGUAGCCGGUUUAAUAAAUGCCUGGGUAAAUCGGACCGCUUAACGGUUCGAAUUCCGGGUAGACUGUUAAACUUGAGACCGGGAGAAGUUAGAGGUACUCCUGGGGUAGAGGUGAAAUUCUGUAAUCCUAGGGGGACCACCAGUGGCGAAGGCGUCUAACUAGAACGGGUCUGACGGUGAGGGACGAAGCCCUGGGGCGCAAACGGGGAUUAGAUACCCGCGUAGU
rnacentral:rRNA from 1 species